AUAAUAAAUUGUCUUUUAAUUGAAGAAUUGAAUGAACGAAUUAAUGAAAUAAUAACUGUCUCUGAAUUAUUAAAUGAAUUUAAAUUUUUAGUUAAAAUUCUAAAAUUUAAUUAUGGGACGAUAAGACCCUAUAGAAUUUUAUUUAAUAUUUUAUUUAUUAAAUAAUUAUUAAUUUGUAAAUAAGAUGUUAAAUUUGAUUGGGAGGAUUGAUAAAUUAAUUAAACUUUAUUUAAUAUUUAAUUUUGAUUUAAAGAUAGAUAUUGAAUUAUAAUUUAUAAUUAAUAGAGUAAAUUACCUUA
rnacentral:rRNA from 1 species